rnacentral:rRNA from 1 species
UAAUACAUGCAAGUAGAACGCUGAAGAGAGGAGCUUGCUCUUCUUGGAUGAGUUGCGAACGGGUGAGUAACGCGUAGGUAACCUGCCUGGUAGCGGGGGAUAACUAUUGGAAACGAUAGCUAAUACCGCAUGAUAUUAAUUAUCGCAUGAUAAUUAAUUGAAAGAUGCAAUUGCAUCACUACCAGAUGGACCUGCGUUGUAUUAGCUAGUUGGUGAGGUAACGGCUCACCAAGGCGACGAUACAUAGCCGACCUGAGAGGGUGAUCGGCCACACUGGGACUGAGACACGGCCCAGACUCCUACGGGAGGCAGCAGUAGGGAAUCUUCGGCAAUGGGGGGAACCCUGACCGAGCAACGCCGCGUGAGUGAAGAAGGUUUUCGGAUCGUAAAGCUCUGUUGUAAGAGAAGAACGGGUGUGAGAGUGGAAAG